AGACCAUCUCUUAUCCCUGCUACUGUUUUCUUGCUGAGACAUCUUCACAAAUCUCUCUUCAAGUUCGACACCUCUAGGCAACAAAUAGCAUUGUAAGUAUGAAACAAAAACAAAAAACAAAAAAAAAGGGUACUGUGAGCUGCCUUAAUAAAUGCAAAAAGAAGGUCAUAUCAGGGAGAAUGUCAGGAUGCCAGUUGAACUGUGUUACCGUUUUGAAGACGGAAAAGGUAGGGCAGUGGCGGUGGUGAUGAUAGACGCUUAAAGCCUUAAAUUGAGAUAAGAUGCAUGAAAAAAAAAGUGGGGGGGGGGGGGGGGGUUAAAAAAUUAAAAGAUUAAGUAUAUAUUCAUAAAUGCUAGGCACCGAUAAUUGCUUCUAAAUUAACUUAAUAAUUACAAAAGUAUCCAAAUGCAAAUACUAAAUGGAAGUUGACAGCCCAUAAAACAAAAGAACGUAAUUUCCCCUUUAAAUUUUGGAAUGUCAAAUGGCCUGUUAUGAAAUCAUUAAAUUACCCCAACAUAAUGGUUUUUUUCAAGGAAAAAAUAGAUAUUUUACCCCAAAGUCUUAAAAUAUCACUCAUUCACUUGCCUUUUUUAUUUUGAUAUUCUAUUUUUUAAUUUUACCAUCCUCUAACAAAUUAACCUUUAAUUUUGGUUAUUAAAACAAAAAAAAAAGAUAAAAAUAAAAUUUUAGCCUACAAUGAUAUGUAAUGCGGGUGACCUAUUAGUUAUAUUCUAAAACACUUAGCUAAAAGCAAUCUUAAGGCCCACGGAAAUGAAAGUCAUUAUGUAAAAGCACAACCGAAGAAACUGAGUUUUUAUUGUCGGCAUUUUUGUUUUUAUAUUUUAAAAAUAGUUUUAAAAAAAUUUAAUUUUUUUUAUUUUAUUAACUUUAAUUAAUAUGUUUUUAGUGUUUUCAAAUCUUUUAAUAUGUUAAUAUCAAAAAUAAUUUUUAAAAAUAAAAAAUAUCAUUAACAUGUAUUUUAGCGUGAAAAAUUAUUCAAAAAGUAAACGCAAUCACAUUGCCAAACAAACUCGUCAUCUACACGUAACCAUACUCGUGGGGAGCACAUCAUAGCAAUUGAUAGGAUAUUAAUAAUAUGAUAGUAAUUGUUGUUUAAAAUAUUUUUUAUUUAAAUUUAUUAAAUUAUUUUUUAAUAUUAGUAUAUUACAAUGACAUAAAAUUAUAAAAAUUUUAAAUAAAAAAAAACCAGUUUUUUACCGUAUUCUUAAUUUUGUUUUUAUAGUGUCAGAAUAACUAUACCACCAAACAUCACAUCACACGUGCAAAUGUUGUCCCUAUAAGGCAAUAUAUAUGUCUAAGUUUAUUGAAUAUAUUUUUUUUAAUUUAACGUGGAUGUGUUGGAUCAGUUUAUGCAUAUCUUGACUAAUUUUACGGAUCCUGGAAUUAAUAACAAUAUAAGCCUCUAGUAAUCAUUAUAUUAGCAACUAAAGGUUGAAACUUGAAAUCAUAGGAAAAAUAAUUUUUUUAAUCUCAAGCUCGUAUCGCUGAACCACCUCCUAAUAGUUAGUAUAUUGAACAUCUUGAUCCUUCAUAAUCUUGCUCUAUCUUCCUCCACCCAUUGGUUUUGUGAGAAGUCGAAAAUGGAGAAAUAUGGUGUUUCAUCCUCCAGCCCCGGUUUUAGCAGCUGCCCAUCAGACUCCAUCAAGUAAUUAUCAGCUCCCGUUUUAUUAGAAAGCAAUGGAAAACCGAACUCCGAAUUAUCAUUGUCAUUAGUAUAUUAAGCACAGGGAAUUGCUCCAUAGAAACAUUAAAGACGCUAGAGUUCCUGCUCUUAAAAGGCAAUGAUAAGAUUACCAUUCAAACAAACCAAAUCUCUAUAUGGCCACAAAUUCUUCUCAUUGUAGUUGUUUUAUGAGCACAAUUUCAGCAUUUUCACUUGGUGCUUUUGCUGCUAUUUCGAGAUAGAAAAAACAGAGAUGGUGAGAGAAUAUAUAUAUAUAUAUAUAUAUAUAUAUAUAUACCUCUUGAAAAACAUUUUAUAUUUGUAUUCUCAACCAAAUACAUUUGAAAUUAUGUCUAUCCUAGAACACUAACCAAAAGCAUAGAUUAAGAUUAAGGUGGUUGCAUUCUAAGGUAGGCUUCAUUAUAGAACCUAUUCCUCGGCAUAUUAAAAUAGAGUCCAUGAAUUAAUCUUAUAUAUACCGAUGAACCAACACACAAAUAUAUACCAUAACAUUGCUUGAAGUAAAUGCCACAAUCACGUUCAAACUAUUUAACAGUCUGAGAUUUAUUUUAUUGGCUAAGUAGACACAUCCCUACUGAAGUUUAAGAUGUAGGGAAUUACUUAAAAGCCCUGUGUUGCUAAACACAUUAACAAUUUUAGCUUCUGUGUUAAACAUGCAGAGAAAUGCCAAGAUAUUUAUGGUAUCAUCUCCACAAGCAUCUGAAAUCUGCAGUGCUUUAACUGUGAUGCUGGCGAUCGAAACGCAACUGCACAAUCUUCUUUCUGUGGGAAUGAAAGCAACCCCCUUGCACAAUGUCUACAGUCUGCACAAAUAAUUAAGUUCCAUCGUUGAAAGGCGAGGGAAUGUUAAAGGGAGAGGGCAUAGAAUGUUUCUUAGCAGCAGUCAUGGUUCUGAACCGGUAAAAAAAAUAGUGUUCUUGCGCAUCAAACAAAGAAGAAGAAAUCAUGAUUUGAUUGGUAAAUUAUAGAUGUAAUAUGUUCAAGAAGAGCAUGAUACGUUUAAACAAAUGACAUGAAACAUUCUGUUUGUAUAGUGAAAGUAAUUGUGGCUCAUAUUUCAGUUCAAUGUUGUUUUUCUAUUAGUAUCGCUUGCUGAAGAGGAAAAGUGAUCAGACCUUGUAGAAGCUAUAUAUUAUUUAAUUCUCCUGAUAGGAUGGUAUGGGCACUCCUGACUCUUCUGUAAGCUUUUUGUAAGCAUUUUGCAACCUUCGAGUCACAGGUCCCACUUGUCCAUCGCCAACUUCACGUCAUCAAUCUUCACAGCCUGUUAAAUGAUAUUCAUAAAAUAUAUGUUCCUACUUAGAAACUGAAAGAUACGGUAUGUUAGUUCCUGACUUGACAGAGACAAGCACCAUGAAGGUGCCAAGAUUAAUAGGAUUUGAUGAGGAUAUCAAAAUCAAUGGGAAUAUCCUAGGAAGAAUUAUUCAUGCAAAUUCUUGUAUAUUAUUUAUAGUAUGUUUUAUGAUCUUCACUUCAAGAUUGCAUUGGCUUUUUGGUGGCGGCACCAGACCCACACCAUAAACUACAUGAGUAUAUGAACGGAGAUGACAUACAAUGACCCAGCCUGUCACGCUUUGGUUAGGAGAUUAAGUUCAUUUGGGUCUAUCUUAUUGUUAUUUUAUUUAGCCCAUUUGAAUCUAUCUCAUUGUUAUUUUAUUUAUUUGAAAUUAUUUAUGUUAAACAGUUUGAUUUGAUGGGCUGAGCCUAAUAGCGAGAUGUUUUAGGGUUUACUAUUUAUAUGUUCCUUUGUCAUUUUGUGAGACAGUUUUUGAUGAUUAAUGAAAAUAUUGUUGAUUUUGCAUAUCUCCAAUCUCAUUUCUUCUUCUUUUUUUUUAGCUUUAUUCUUUCUCUAAAGCUUCUUUCUUUUCUUGUUUUAAUUCUUAUUAUUUAUUGUCCUACAUCACUUCUUUAAUGAAUUCCAUCAAAGGGAUGUAAAUCUCAACCUGGAUAAAUAUUUGCUCAAAGUCCCCUCGAGUGUUGAUAGAGAACCCUCUGAAAAUUAAGUUAGCACAAGGUAUUUUUGUGUGGAAAAGACAUUAAUAAAAGGUGUAAUGAGCUUUUAUGAAGAUAGAGAAGAGGAAGGAAAAGAAGAUGUAUUAUUAAGGAAGAAGAAGCAGAAAAUGUGUUUAUAUCUCUCUGUAUAAGGUUUCGAACCCCUUUCUGUAUGUUCUUGCCUUCUUUUAUAUUACAUGACUUGGCUUUUUCAUGUAACGUAGAGGAAGGUAGAAAUAUAAUCUUGUGUGAGUAAGAUAAUGUUAUCUUACUGCUCGUACCAUCACAUCUAAUUAAUAGAAGCAUGGAUAACUUAUUUGUAUUUAAUAGGAUAUAAUGGAUAUCAUGAUUACUAAUCCAAACACAGGGUAUGAGUAGCUCAGUGUGGAGUUAUCUUUUUAGAUGUGCACUUAACCUGAUGAGCAUUAGAUUCAACUCACAAUGAGCCUAGGAGAAGUUAGGCUCAGCUUGUGACUACACUUAAAAAUGAUCAAAGAUGGACAUCUCAUAGCCCAAAGUAGAGUUGGGCGGGGACGCAUCCCAACCCAAUAUGGAGUUGGGCACGGAUGCGUCCCUGGCCUAAUAUGGGGUUAGACGCAGACGAGCAUUUACCCUAAUAUGGAGUUGGGCGGGACGCGUCUUGACCCAACAUGGAGUUGGGUAUGGGCACGCCCCUGGUCUAAUAUAAAGUUGGGCAGGACUCAUCCCUAGCUCAACAUGGGGUUAGGAGUGGACACAUCAUGACCCAACAUGGAGUAGGGCAUAGGUGCACCCCUGACCGGAAUAUGAGGUCAGGCUCGAACGCAUCCCUGUCCCAAUAUGAGGUUGGGUGCGGACGCGUCAUGACCCAUCAUAAAGUUGGGCACGGGCACUCCCCUAUCCAACUUAAAGUUGAGCACGGGAAUGAUAUAAUCCCUCCUUGGGUUGUGAUUUUCAUGUGUUGGGUUUUAAAUGGUACUGAUUUACAUAAACCACGACCCAUCAACACUCAAAUUAUUUCAACCAGCAUGGUAUUCUCUGUCCAUAUCUUGUGAAGCUUACUAAUAAAAACCUUCGAAGUGGUGAAUCUAGCUUGGACAAUGUCAACUUCAAAAUGUAACCAACUACCACUGCUUAACUUCUUACUACUACUUGAAAGCAGCAGCAGAUAUUAAAUGAAGAGUCUCAAGAACAACAUUUGCACAGCAAAUACCACAUAGUAUGCAUUGGACACAACAUUCAGCAACUCGACGAUAAAGAAAUACUGAAAAUGGAACGGUUUGAUGAUGACCCACUUCACAGGACUGGUCAGGUUGGAAAAGACAAAACUAGACUGACAGACUAACCAUUGUAUCCAAAACAUUUCCAGUAAACGAAAACUUAUUGCGUAAAUAAUUAUAUUAGAAACAUUUUUAAUGGUUGACACAUUAUUCAUAUACUCAUCAGCUGAUGUUCCGAACCGGAGGAUGGCGUUGUAAUAAAAGUUGCCACAACUUACGGGACCUCAAAAUCACUUAAGAUUGCAGCGGACAAAGAAUUUGCCGAAAUGUACCUAACAUAGUUGGAAAAGUCAUAUUUAAAAAGAAUAUACUCACCGGGGUGAGCUCUCCCAUUGUUCCAGUCAUCCAUACCUGCAGAGCAUGAAUGUUGUAGUAACUGAUAAAUUGAUAAAAAUAACAAAAUAAUUAAAAUUAACUAAAUUUACUAAAAAUAUAUAUAUAUAUUCAUUUUUUAAAAUAUAUACAAGAAUGAGGGGUAAGAAAUUAGGCUAUGACACUUGUAAACCUCACAAAAACAAACUGGAUUGAUAGGGGUUUAGGAACAUAGUCAUUAAAAUCAAUCUAUCUCAGCAAAUUGUGAGACAAAUAAUUGUGAGACAAAUUCAAAAUUUGAAGCGUAACUUGAGUUAGAUUUCUAGUAGAAAACAAACUCGGUUAGUAUUUCAUAAAUCUCACAAAAGCAAACUCAGUUGAUAAGGGUUUAGGAACAUAGUCAUUAAAUUCAAUCAACCUCAGCAAAUCGACUUGAAAAAUUCAAAACUUGGAGCCUAACUCGAGUUAGAUUUCUAGUAGAAAACAAACUCAGUGAACAUAUUGUUAGAAACAUAAUCAUUAAAUUUAAUCUAACUCAAUAGCCGACCUAGUCAAUCCAAGAUUUACAGUUUUACUCGAGUCAGGUUUCUAGUGGAAACUCAAGACAAAGUAAUAGGAGUAAUUUUGAAUUAAGUUACAAGAAAUUGAGACUGAUUGAAGAUUUGAAAAUACUAAUAUGGCUUGGAAUAAUGCAAUUGGUGUUGAGUACAAAGGUAAAAUUACUUUUUUUCAAUGUAAAAGAAAUUCAUGUUUGGUAAUGAAAGAAUAAAAACAACAUUAACACGUUAGAGGCAAAAUAUCGUAAAGAGCAAAAGAUUAAAGAAUAAUAAGAGUUAAUAUUGAAAAGGAAUGUUAGAAUUCAUUAUUAGUCGGGAGUUAGGAUUUAGAGUUUAUAAGAAUUCUAAUAUUUUGUAACUAUGCAAUAUUAAAGAUUAAUAUCUAUUAGAGUUUUGGAUAAGAAUAAAUCUUAGAUAGAUAAGCAUAAACGUCUUAGUUUAAGUAGGAAAUGUAAGAGUAUAAAAUCCACCUAAACAUUAAGAAUUAUGUAUAAGAAAAAACAAAAGAAAAAAAUAAAGAAAAGAAAGGCAGUAGAUGAACAAACUUUUUGGCUAUUGAUAGACUUUGAAUAUUAUUUGGCCAUAAUACUUCAACAACCAGCAAUAUGAUUCUCUCGUACAUUUCCUGCAAGCUAGUAGAUGAACCAACAGGCCUUGAAACUUAUUAGUUUUCAGCCCAUGGAGAAGCCAUUCACUGACAUCCCUCCAUCAACGCAAAUAACCUGUCCGGUUAAGAAGCCUGGUGCAGGGAAGCAUAGAAAUGCGACAACAGAAGACACAUCCCCUGGUUCUCCAAGUCGUUUCAUAGGGGUUCGAUUGACAACGUCCUUCCAAAUUUUUUCGUCGUCGAGAAACUGAAUCGUACAGGAAAAGCACUAUUAGAUAUUUUCAGAAUAUUCAUCCUCGACACAAUUUCCUGUGAUAAAAACGAUUCACCUAUGUUGUUGCACUUGUGCAACGAGCACUGAAAGGAAAAGAAAGCAUAAAGGAGAGAAACAUUAGUUAAAGAAUUGGAGAGUUCGUACAUGUUCAGUGAGAGGAGUUCGGACGGCCCAUGGUGCCACUGCGUUAACCCUUAUGUUGUCCUUGGCCCAUUCGCAAGCCAAAUUCCUUGUAAGUUGGUUCAUUGCACCUGCAAUUAUAUAGAAAUCACAACAUAACAAGCUUCUGUGAUACAAACACCAAAAAGGAAAACGAGAUGAGAGAUAGAAAAUUAUGCCAAGUACCUUUAGUAGCUGAAUAUAUAGGAUAUUGAGGGUUUAUAGAAACCACACUGGCAAUGGAUGACAUAAAGACGAUGCUUCCAGCUCCUGAAGCUUUCAAAAGUGGGUGUGCGAGUUGGGAGAGAUGGAAAGCAGAUCCAAGGUUUAUAUUCAUGAUGGAUACGAAAUCCUCAGUUGUGUAGUCUAAGGUUCCUUUAUGUAUGUUCCCCCCAGCAUUGUUUAUCUAGAGAUUAGCAAAGUUUAGGCAAUCAGACAAGUUCUUAUUUACUUGCAAUAUCAAGUUACAUCCAUUAUUUAUGUCACGGUUAAUUAGGUUCCCUCAUAAUAUUACUAAGCCCUUCUGUGUAGAGUUUGAAGAAAGACUAAAGAACAGAACGUAUUUUUCACCACCUUGUUUGUUUUGUUUACAGAAUAUUUUCAAGUAGGGACGUGAACUGCAAGUGCCAGAAUUUAGGCAAGCUGAGAUUUGAUUAGAAUCAAGUAUCCCCUGAAUAUUCUCCCAAGCAUUUAACUUCGACUAAACAUUAGGAGUUCUAAGUGCUGUGAAUGAGUUGAGCAAAUGAGAAACGAAGAGAGAUUUUACUUACAAGGAUGUCAAGUUUUCCAUCAAAAAAAGAAGAAACCUCCUCCAUCAGCUUCUCUCUUUCAGCAUUAGAGGACAAAUCACAAACUGAACCAGUAACUUUAAAACCCUUCGCCUUCCAUUCACGGAGGUUUUCACUCAGCUGGUCCUGACUCCUCCCACAUGUAUGCACGAUUGCCCCUAGUGCUGCCAACUCACCCACAACAGCAUACCUGAUCAUAAUUGAUCAUCAGCAAACAAUUCUACUGUUUUAACACCUUUAAUUUCAAGAAUAAGCUAGUUAUUGCUGCCAAAAGAUUAAAGGACUACGUGUAAUGGACCCAGGAAUCAGUGUUAUAAGCGAUAACAACAUAAUGUCAAUACAUUGAAAACACUAAAUCCAUGGAGCAUUUUCUUAGAUCCACAAGAGGGGUGCUCAAGCAGGGGAUGAAUUUUUUGAUGAAAAAAGUAGAUAGAAUUCAUUAAUCUUUUCCUUAGAUUAAAAAAACUGUUAUGUGGAUAUAAAAACUGUUAUGUGGAUAUAGUGGUUCCCUUUAAUUUAUAAUUAAAGGAAGAAAAUAUACUUAUAUUCUUAUGUUUUACUUAAGAAAUUUGAGACCUUAAUGGAAUCUUGCUUUUGUGCAUCAUCUUCCAAGAAAUUAACUAAAAUAAAUUAAGACUACGGAGCUAAAGUAAAACAUCAUGGAAGGUGCAGACGAAAAAGGAACUGGAAAUCUGGAAUUACCCGAGCCCUUUGGUUCCACCAGUGACAAGAGCUGUCAUUCCUUGGAGAGACCAUCUCUUAUCCCUGCUACUGUUUUCUUGCUGAGACAUCUUCACAAAUCUCUCUUCAAGUUCGACACCUCUAGGCAACAAAUAGCAUUGUAAGUAUGAAACAAAAACAAAAAACAAAAAAAAAGGGUACUGUGAGCUGCCUUAAUAAAUGCAAAAAGAAGGUCAUAUCAGGGGAGAAUGUCAGGAUGCCAGUUGAACUGUGUUACCGUUUUGAAGACGGAAAAGGUA
rnacentral:lncRNA from 1 species